AGUCUUACCAACACCUGGAAGAUUGGUAUCAUCAACCUUAUAAUGUAGAAAGUUACUUUGGCCCCUGUUGGUAAUCAUGUUUACGGGUGACACUGUUUUCAUCUUUAUUCAAGGCAAAAAGUAACGUGGAGUCCCUCCAGCCUGUGGUAACACAUCCUUAUGUUGCUCCAUGGUUGCUGAUGCAGAUUUUGUUAGUAUUUUUUAUGAUGCAUUUGCAAGAAGUCUUGUCAUAUUGAUAACUCAUAUUGGGAAUCUUCCCUCAGGAAAUUGUAGAAUAUCUAGCUAUCCAACCAUUUGUUAGGAAUAGGAGUAGUGUACAGU
rnacentral:lncRNA from 1 species